rnacentral:rRNA from 1 species
UACAGAGGGUGCAAACGUUGUUCGGAAUUACUGGGCGUAAAGCGCGUGUAGGCGGCGGCGCAAGUCGGGUGUGAAAGCCCAGGGCUCAACCCUGGAAGUGCACUCGAUACUGCGACGCUAGAGUCCCGGAGAGGUUGGUGGAACUCUCGGUGUAGAGGUGAAAUUCGUAGAUAUCGAGAAGAACACCGGUGGCGAAGGCGGCCAACUGGACGGUGACUGACGCUGAGACGCGAAAGCGUGGGGAGCAAACAGG